CCUACGGGGGGCUGCAGUGGGGAAUAUUGCACAAUGGGCGCAAGCCUGAUGCAGCCAUGCCGCGUGUGUGAAGAAGGCCUUCGGGUUGUAAAGCACUUUCAGCGGGGAGGAAGGCGGUGAGGUUAAUAACCUCAUCGAUUGACGUUACCCGCAGAAGAAGCACCGGCUAACUCCGUGCCAGCAGCCGCGGUAAUACGGAGGGUGCAAGCGUUAAUCGGAAUUACUGGGCGUAAAGCGCACGCAGGCGGUCUGUCAAGUCGGAUGUGAAAUCCCCGGGCUCAACCUGGGAACUGCAUUCGAAACUGGCAGGCUAGAGUCUUGUAGAGGGGGGUAGAAUUCCAGGUGUAGCGGUGAAAUGCGUAGAGAUCUGGAGGAAUACCGGUGGCGAAGGCGGCCCCCUAGACAAAGACUGACGCUCAGGUGCGAAAGCGUGGGGAGCAAACAGGAUUAGAUACCCGGGUAGUC
rnacentral:rRNA from 1 species